UGUAGUCAUAUGCUUGUCUCAAAGAUUAAGCCAUGCAUGUCUAAGUAUAAGCAAUCUAUACGGUGAAACUGCGAAUGGCUCAUUAAAUCAGUUAUCGUUUAUUUGAUAGUACCUUACUACUUGGAUAACCGUGGUAAUUCUAGAGCUAAUACAUGCUAAAAACCUCGACUUCGGAAGGGGUGUAUUUAUUAGAUAAAAAACCAAUGCCCUUCGGGGCUCCUUGGUGAUUCAUAAUAACUUAACGAAUCGCAUGGCCUUGUGCCGGCGAUGGUUCAUUCAAAUUUCUGCCCUAUCAACUUUCGAUGGCACGGUCUUGGCCUACCAUGGUUUCAACGGGUAACGGGGAAUUAGGGUUCGGUUCCGGAGAAGGAGCCUGAGAGACGGCUACUACAUCCAAGGAAGGCAGCAGGCGCGCAAAUUACCCAAUCCCGACACGGGGAGGUAGUGACAAUAAAUACUGAUACAGGGCUCUUUUGGGUCUUGUAAUUGGAAUGAGUACAAUUUAAAUCCCUUAACGAGGAACGAUUGGAGGGCAAGUCUGGUAAUCG
rnacentral:rRNA from 1 species